rnacentral:rRNA from 1 species
GUGAGGAAUAUUGCGCAAUGGAGGCAACUCUGACGCAGCCAUGCCGCGUGCAGGAAGAAGGCGCUACGCGUUGUAAACUGCUUUUAACCGGGAAGAAACCCCAGGACGUGUCCUGGGUUGACGGUACCGGAGGAAUAAGCACCGGCUAACUUCGUGCCAGCAGCCGCGGUAAUACGAAGGGUGCAAGCGUUAUCCGGAUUCAUUGGGUUUAAAGGGUGCGUAGGCGGAGCGUUAAGUCAGUGGUGAAAUCCUGCAGCUUAACUGUAGGCUUGCCAGUGAUACUGGCGCUCUUGAGUGCGCUUGAAGUGGGCGGAAUGUGCCGUGUAGCGGUGAAAUGCUUAGAUAUGGCACAGAACACCAAUUGCGAAGGCAGCUCACUAAGGCGAUACUGACGCUGAGGCACGAAAGCGUGGGGAUCGAACAGGAUUAGAAACCCUGGUAGUCC